CGGGGUCAGGGUUAGCUGAUCGGGGUCAGGGUUAGCUGAUUGGGGUCAGGGUUUGCAGGUUAAACUGCAGUCAGAGUCAAAUCUUAAACUGUUGCUAUUGUGUUUUCUCUGAACAGAAAUCAAAGAAUCAAAAAACAAAGUUCAGGCCGUGAAGAAACUGGUCCAAGAACUGCCCAAACCCAACCAGGACACCAUGAGACUACUCUUCAGCCACCUGCACAGAGUUCUGGCAUGUUCCAGGAAGAACCUGAUGUCCACUCAGGGCAUUGGCAUCGUGUUUGGCCCGACGCUGAUGUGGCCCGAGCUGGACGCAGGAAACAUGGCGGUCAACAUGGUCUACCAGAACCAGAUUGUGGAGUUCAUCCUCAUCGAAAGCAAAGAAAUCUUUAACCUGGACAGGAAGUGAGGCGUCAACUGAUCAGCCGAUGAACCAAAUUAAUUUAAAAAUGUUGUUGUUUGAAGAAAAAAAUCAGUUUUGAUAUAACUGUAAAAAAUAAACGGAUGGUUUUGAAUCCUAACAAA